UUCACCUCCUCCGGGAGGACCUGCCCAGAUCUUUCCAGUCCACCCGUACGCCCUGGGGAGCCCGCCAUCUCCAUGCCACAUCACCUCACGGUCUCAUUAUCCGCUAGUCUCAACACAGGACUGUCUGUUUUGUGAGCACGGGAGUUUUGCCUUCCUUAGAGGACGCAAGUCCCCGAAAGUAUUCUGCACCUUCUCAGCCUUCCGUUCCUUGCAUCCCGCUCUGCAUUAUGUGGUGCUGAACCUAUGAAGGGCCAACGCUCAGUCAAUGCUUGUGUUGACUUAGUGUUUCUGGAAGGGGAAAGUUCUAGAAGAGUGGAUACAAAGGAAUUAAUUGUGUGAUGGCAUUUUUACCUCUCACUUCUCCACUUCCCCUUCUUCCCUGUCCUUCCCCAGAUGGCUUACCUGGCUGCCACCAGCCUUUCAGUUCCAGCAUGCCCUUGUGGGGUUGACCACCCACCUCCUUUCAGCCUGCAAUCUGUGGCUAAGCCGUGGUGCCAGCACCCGACACUUAGGGGACAAACCAAAUUGAUCUCUCAUCUCCUCACCAGGGAACCCUGUUUUGAAACACUGCAGAGAAACCAGUUCUGGACCCCCUUUUGUAGCUUCUGCAUAGAGUGGGCUGUGAGAUGUCCAUCAUCCUGACCAGUGUUUCCCAAAGCGUGGGCCCUGGGCCUGCAGCAUCAUCAACAGCAUCAGCUGGGAACUUGAAGGAACUUCAAGACCUAUUAGAAAUACCGAAUUAGCAACUUAGGCUGAGGUCAAGGAAUCCUAACAAGAACCUCAGGAAUUCUGAAACCACUUGAAAAAUGCUGAUUUAGGGAAAUAGCCUGUUUGAAUUUCAGAACGUUAUUCCCAGAGAUCUUCUCAUCUAGACUCUGGUCUUCGUCAGGUAGACUACCCCACCGUUGUGGAGAUGAGAAAGCCGAGGCACAAUACAGUUACGCUCCAGGGUCGCGUGGCUGGGCAAUGUUGGUAUGAAGACGGGCUUUUCUGUUCCUCGACCGAGUCAUCUUUCUAACUUCAGAUAUGGCUGUGGGCUCUAAGAGUGCUGGUGCUUAAGAAGAUGGAGAUGCAUCUGGAAUAAGAUGGAGGUGAUUUUAUGCAUCAACACUUCCCUUGUGGCAAUCACUGUAUGUGGCAGAAAGAAAUAUUUAAAAACACUGUUGGUGCCUAUGAGAGAAGGUCCUACUCACCCAGGGUGUGUUUAAGCAACAAAACACGCAACCAAAAUGACUUUUGAGGUGGGAGAGCCCUCAGUCCUGCUGGGACUGACUCAAGGAGAAUGGACUUUGGAGGAAGUUGUAAGUCCAGCAGUCUUCAUGGGAAGUAAAAAUUGAUUUAUUCCUGAAUGUCUUGGACACUGAGUCGACUCCUCAGCUACAUUAACUGUGCAACGACACAUAUUUUCAGUUGUGAUGGAUUCCUCUGGAGAACAUCAGGAAUGCUGUGACUAAGACAGAGAAACAAAAGAA